GGGAGAAUCCUGAAUUCGAAAGGGGUUGGAUUCAGAUCCUACCGAUCGCAUACUAGGCAGCCCCACCGCGGAUGGUGCCGGUCGCCCGCGGCGAUUAAUUUCGUUUGCGGUGCCGUUUCUGGCGUCCACUCGGUGGUUAGCUGACCGCAAUCUCGGAGGUUCGCACUUCUCCCCUAGUAGAAACGUCGCGACCCGUUGGGUGCCGGCCGAAGGCCCGGGAAGGAAGCCCGCGCGUCCUGUGGUGGUUGCCACAGGCGUGCGGACUCCUGGUGACCCGGCCGGCUGCCCGACGGUAUGACCAGAGGAGCCGAUCCGCUGAAUGGGAAACACUGUGGUUUGUGAAGCGUGCGGCCUGGCGCCGACACGUGCGGGGAUUGAGGUGUAAACCGGGGGUGUCCGUGCGAAGCACGGUCCCGGCCCCGCUGCGUGUUCGGUUGCCGGUGUCCUCGCACUGGAUCGAUACUCCCGUCUGCGACGCCCAUCUUCGGAUGGUCUCCCG
rnacentral:rRNA from 1 species